AGGGCACCMCCAGGAGUGGAGCCUGCGGCUUAWUUUGACUGAACACGGGAAAACUCACCCGGCCCGGACACCGUAAGGAUUGACAGAUUGAGAGCUCUUUCUUGAUUCGGUGGKUGGKGGKGCAUGGSCGUUCUUAGUUGGKGGAGCGAUUUGUCUGGKUUAUUCCGAUAACGAGCGAGACUCUAGCCUACUAAAWAGUGACCGGAUAGCUUCGUCCGGGUCACUUCUUAGAGGGACAAGCGGUGUUCAGCCGCAAUAAGUUGAGCAAUAACAGGUCUGUGAUGCCCUUAGAUGUCCGGGGCUGCACGCGCGCUACACUGGAGGAAUCAGCGUGCUUGACCCAUUGCCSAAAGGCAUUGGUAAACCCUUGAAAAUCCUCCGUGAUCGGGAUCKGGAAUUGYRAUUAUUUCYCUUGAACRAGGAAUUCCCAGUAAGUGUGAGUCAUCAGCUCACGUUGAUUACGUCCCUGCCCUUUGUACACACCGCCCGUCGCUGCCCGGGACUGAGCCGUUUCGAGAA
rnacentral:rRNA from 1 species